UUCCGGUUGAUCCCGCCGGACCCGACUGCUAUUUGGGUGAGAAUAAGCCAUGCGAGUUGAAUGGGAUACCUAAAGUUCCCAUAGCAAACUGCUCAGUAACACAUGAUCAACUUACCCUAUAGAGAAAAAUAACCUCGGGAAACUGAGGAUAAUAUUUCAUAAUUGAAUUGGCUUGGAAAAGUUUUUCAAUGAAAAGGAUAAAAAAAAUGGUUUUUAUCUGCUAUAGGAUAGGAUCGUGUUCGAUUAUGGUUGUUGGUGAGAUAAUGGCUCACCAAGCCGAUAAUCGAUAGGGGCCGUGAGAGCGGGAGCCCCGAGAUGGGUACUGAGACAACGACCCAGGCCUUACGAGGCGCAGCAGGCGCGGAACCUCCGCAAUACACGAAAGUGUGACGGGGUUACCCAAAGUGUUCAAUAGAACUGUGGUAGGUGAGUAAUGUUCCCUACUAGAAAGGAGAGGGCAAGGCUGGUGCCAGCCGCCGCGGUAAAACCAGCUCUUCAAGUGGUCGGGAUAAUUAUUGGGCUUAAAGUGUCCGUAGCCGGUUUAGCAAGUUCCUGGUAAAAUCAGGUAGCUUAACUAUCUGCAUGCUAGGAAUACUGCUAUACUAGAGGGCGGGAGAGGUCUGAGGUACUACAGGGGUAGGGGUGAAAUCUUAUAAUCCUUGUAGGACCACCAGUGGCGAAGGCGUCAGACUGGAACGCGCCUGACGGUGAGGGACGAAAGCCAGGGGAGCGAACCGGAUUAGAUACCCGGGUAGUCCUGGCCGUAAACGAUGCAUACUAGGUGAUGGUACGGCCAUGAGCCGUAUCAGUGCCGUAGGGAAACCGUUAAGUGUGCCGCCUGGGAAGUACGGUCGCAAGGCUAAAACUUAAAGGAAUUGGCGGGGGAGCACCACAAGGGUGAAGCCUGCGGUUCAUUGGAUUCAACGCCCGGAAAUCACUAGUGCGGCCGC
rnacentral:rRNA from 1 species